rnacentral:rRNA from 1 species
UACGUAGGGACCAAGCGUUGUCCGGAUUUAUUGGGCGUAAAGAGCUCGUAGGCGGCUUGUCGCGUCGUUCGUGAAAACCCGGGGCUCAACUCCGGGCUUGCGGGCGAUACGGGCAGGCUAGAGUUCGGUAGGGGAGACUGGAAUUCCUGGUGUAGCGGUGAAAUGCGCAGAUAUCAGGAGGAACACCGGUGGCGAAGGCGGGUCUCUGGGCCGAUACUGACGCUGAGGAGCGAAAGCGUGGGGAGCGAACAGG